AGCUCGGUAGCUUAGUUGGCAAGGCAUUCGUCUGGCAUACAAGAGUCGUGGGUUCGGAUCCCACCUGAGCAU
rnacentral:tRNA from 1 species